GGUCAAGCGAAUAAGCGCACACGGUGGAUGCCUUGGCGGUCAGAGGCGAUGAAGGACGUGGCAGCCUGCGAAAAGUAUCGGGGAGCUGGCAACAAGCUUUGAUCCGGUAAUGUCCGAAUGGGGAAACCCACCCGCUUGCGGGUAUCCUGCAGUGAAUACAUAGCUGCUGGAAGCGAACCUGGUGAACUGAAAUAUCUAAGUAACCAGAGGAAAAGAAAUCAACCGAGAUUCCGUAAGUAGCGACGAGCGAACGCGGACUAGCCCUUAAGCUGAUUUGGUUCUAGGAAAACGCUCUGGAAAGAGCGGCCAUAGAAGGUGAUAGCCCUGUAUCUGAAAGGGCCAUUUCAGUGAAGACGAGUAGGGCGGGGCACGUGAAACCCUGUCUGAACAUGGGGGGACCAUCCUCCAAGGCUAAAUACUACUGACCGACCGAUAGUGAACCAGUACCGUGAGGGAAAGGCGAAAAGAACCCCGGAGAGGGGAGUGAAAUAGAACCUGAAACCGUGUGCGUACAAGCAGUAGGAGCUCCGCAAGGAGUGACUGCGUACCUUUUGUAUAAUGGGUCAGCGACUUACUGUUCGUGGCAAGCUUAACCGUAUAGGGGAGGCGAAGGGAAACCGAGUCUGAUAAGGGCGCAUAGUCGCGGGCAGUAGACCCGAAACCGGGUGAUCUAGUCAUGCCCAGGGUGAAGGUGCGGUAACACGCACUGGAGGCCCGAACCCACUCCCGUUGCAAAGGUAGGGGAUGAGGUGUGAUUAGGAGUGAAAAGCUAAUCGAACCCGGAGAUAGCUGGUUCUCCUCGAAAGCUAUUUAGGUAGCGCCUCAUAUGUAUCCUCUCGGGGGUAGAGCACUGUUAUGGCUAGGGGGUCAUCGCGACUUACCAAACCAUUGCAAACUCCGAAUACCGAGACGGACUGUAUGGGAGACACACGGCGGGUGCUAACGUCCGUCGUGAAAAGGGAAACAACCCAGACCCACAGCUAAGGUCCCAAAUUCACUGCUAAGUGGAAAACCAUGUGGAAAGGCACAGACAGCCAGGAGGUUGGCUUAGAAGCAGCCACCCUUUAAAGAAAGCGUAAUAGCUCACUGGUCGAGUCGGUCUGCGGGGAAGAUUUAACGGGGCUAAGCAGUGAACCGAAGCUUGGGGUGCAUAACUUUGUUAUGCGCGGUAGAGGAGCGUUCCGUAAGCCGUUGAAGGUGGAUUGAGAAGUCUGCUGGAGGUAUCGGAAGUGCGAAUGCUGACAUGAGUAACGAUAAUGCGGGUGAAAAACCCGCACGCCGAAAGCCCAAGGUUUCCUUGCGCAACGUUAAUCGGCGCAGGGUGAGUCGGCCCCUAAGGCGAGGACGAAAGUCGUAGUCGAUGGGAAGCAGGUUAAUAUUCCUGCACCUCGCGUAAGUGCGAUGGAGGGACGGAGAAGGUUAGGUGUACCAGGCGUUGGUUGUCCUGGGGAAAGGCGGUAGGUUUGGAUCUUUGGCAAAUCCGGGAUCCUUCAAGACCGAGCACCGAGACGAGCCUUUAUGGCAAAGUCACUGAUACCACGCUUCCAGGAAAAGCUCCUAAGCUUCAGCUUACGCAGACCGUACCGUAAACCGACACAGGUGGGUAGGAUGAGAAUUCUCAGGCGCUUGAGAGAACUCGGGUGAAGGAACUAGGCAACAUGGCACCGUAACUUCGGGAGAAGGUGCACCCUUUUUUGGUGGCUCGUGCGAGCUAUAGCUGAAGAGGGUCGCAGUAACCAGGCCGCUGCGACUGUUUAUCAAAAACACAGCACUCUGCAAACACGAAAGUGGACGUAUAGGGUGUGACGCCUGCCCGGUGCUGGAAGGUUAAUUGAUGGGGUCAGCCGCAAGGCGAAGCUCUUGAUCGAAGCCCCAGUAAACGGCGGCCGUAACUAUAACGGUCCUAAGGUAGCGAAAUUCCUUGUCGGGUAAGUUCCGACCUGCACGAAUGGCGUAACGACAGCGGCGCUGUCUCCACCCGAGACUCAGUGAAAUUGAAAUCGCUGUGAAGAUGCAGCGUUCCCGUGGCAAGACGGAAAGACCCCGUGAACCUUUACUAUAGCUUUACACUGAACGUUGAGUUCGUCUGUGUAGGAUAGGUGGGAGGCUAUGAAACUGUGGCGCUAGCUGCAGUGGAGCCAUCCUUGAAAUACCACCCUGUCGUGCUUGACGUUCUAACCUGGGCCCAUUAUCUGGGUCGGGGACCGUGUAUGGUGGGUAGUUUGACUGGGGCGGUCUCCUCCUAAAGAGUAACGGAGGAGCUCGAAGGUACGCUCAGCGCGGUCGGACAUCGCGCACUGUGUGCAAAGGCAUAAGCGUGCUUGACUGCAAGAUCGACGGAUCAAGCAGGUAGGAAACUAGGACUUAGUGAUCCGGUGGUUCUGUAUGGAAGGGCCAUCGCUCAACGGAUAAAAGGUACUCCGGGGAUAACAGGCUGAUACCGCCCAAGAGUUCAUAUCGACGGCGGUGUUUGGCACCUCGAUGUCGGCUCAUCACAUCCUGGGGCUGUAGUCGGUCCCAAGGGUAUGGCUGUUCGCCAUUUAAAGUGGUACGCGAGCUGGGUUCAGAACGUCGUGAGACAGUUCGGUCCCUAUCUGCCAUGGGCGUUGGAGAUUUGAGAGGGGCUGCUCCUAGUACGAGAGGACCGGAGUGGACGAACCUCUGGUGUUCCGGUUGUCACGCCAGUGGCAUUGCCGGGUAGCUAUGUUCGGAAGCGAUAACCGCUGAAAGCAUCUAAGCGGGAAGCGCGCCUCAAGAUGAGAUCUCCCGGGGCACAAGCCCCCUGAAGGAACCAUGUAGACUACGUGGUUGAUAGGUCAGGUGUGUAAGUACAGCAAUGUAUUGAGCUAACUGAUACUAAUGAUCCGAGAGGCUUGACCAU
rnacentral:rRNA from 1 species